AGGCAGCAUGAUUGCACUGAUGUC
rnacentral:siRNA from 1 species